rnacentral:piRNA from 1 species
UGUAUGUGCAUGCAGUACCUGUGG